GACGAACGCUGGCGGCGUGCUUAACACAUGCAAGUCGAACGGUAAGGCCCUUUCGGGGGUACACGAGUGGCGAACGGGUGCGCAACACGUGGGUGAUCUGCCCUGCACUUUGGGAUAAGCCUGGGAAACUGGGUCUAAUACCGAAUACACCUUGAUGGUCGCAUGGCCUGGUGGGGGAAAGCUUUUGCGGUGUGGGAUGGGCCCGCGGCCUUUCAGCUUGUUGGUGGGGUGAUGGCCGACCAAGGCGACGCCGGGUAGCCGGUCUGAGAGGGGGUCCGGCCAAACUGGGACUGAGAUACGGCCCAAACUCAUACGGGAUGCAGCAGUGGGGAAUAUUGCACAAUGGGCGCAAGCCUGAUGCAGCGACGCCGCGUGAGGGAUGACGGCCUUCGGGUUGUAAACCUCUUUCAAUAGGGACGAAGCGUAAGUGACGGUACCUAUAGAAGAAGCACCGGCCAACUACGUGCCAGCCGCCGCAGUAAAAC
rnacentral:rRNA from 1 species